UGGGCUUUGAUAUCGUCACAUGCUUGAGGGACGACACCGUCUGCUGGGGGCCAAGUCGUUUACACAAGUGCCAUUACCUUAUUGGGGGGCCUCACUGUUCUUAGUUGGAUGACACGGGACUCUCCAUUGCAAUCUACUUGCCUAGAGCAUCACCCCAUCUCCAGAAGCAGGAGGGAGAAUGGUUUUGAAUCUUAGCUCUAUCAUUUUCUGACUCUGUACCAAAUUACAUAUAGAUCUGUCAGAAUGAUGUAAGACCUGAAAUCUCUCUGUAAGUUGAUCCUCUUGACCCCAUGAUUAGGAGCUUCACAAUGUGGUACCACACCUGGAAAUCUCCAGAACAAGACCUCAAGGAAGCACAGGAAAUCCCUAGAGUGGCAAAACAUCCGAUUUGAAGACAUUCAAUUAUUUCUCUGUGCAUCAGGAGCAUCACUGUUAAUUAACUAUUGAUAUGCUUGAAAGAGUUUGUUUAGCAAUAGCCCUUGCAGAAAAAAAAAAAAGAGCCGUGUAUUAUUCAUGAUGAACUAGACAAUGCUGCCACAAUGAGUUAACUUCUACAUCUUAUUCCCUUGGCAAAAGUUUAGCUCUUAUUCCUGCAAAUUUUGAUGCAAGAUGGUUGGCUCUCCAGGCAGAUACUGACCUUGUGAAAUAGUCAUCUCAACGUGUUCCUCCAUAACAAAACUCCACAGCAGGGGAAGAUGGAAGUGGAGGGUCACACACCUGGUCUUAUAUACUUUGAUGCAAAGGUGAUACAUGUCAUUUUUACUUACAGUUUGUAGGCCAGAACAAAGCCUAAUAUACUUGCAAGGGGUCUGGAAAAUAUUCUGAAGCACAUGGCUGUUUGGUGAGCAGUAAAUGUUUCUCCCACACCAGGCUUUGGCAGACUUCAAAUUUGUUCCUAAUAGGCCUAAUUUACACCACUAACUGUAUAUCCCUUGAGUCUUCCUGGAAUUUUUUGUUAAUGUUUUUCUAGCACAGUGUCUGGCACAAAGUAUUCAAUAAACAUACUCAGUAGAACCCUUAGAUCCGUAAGUUUCACUUUAUCUUUGGACUUCAGAACCCAUGUAGCUGCUAUAUCAUAUCAGGAAAGUGUAACUGCAACUCUAACUGCAAUGAAAAUUAACAGAUAAAAUGCUCAGCCCAGCUUCAAUUUUGUUUUGUUUUAUUUUUGAUUUUUGUAGUUUUUGCUUUGUUUCUUUGCUCCAGAGCAGAAGUUCAUACCUGAUUGUCACUGGACUUAGAACAAUAGUUGUGUCCACACACAGUGAGAGUGGUUCAAAUUCUUUGGGGAAUUUGUCUUCAAGUAUCGGAAGCUGGGUUGGUACGCCAGUCUCUAUGUGUAAAUUAGGUUCAUUCCCUUUCAGAUGUUGUAUUUUAUUUUCAAUCAAUACUGUCCAUUCUGUAAUGGUUCACUGCAUAGACUUGAAGAUGACAUUUUGGGCUGUGUCUUGUAUUUGUCACUUAUUAGCACUUUGUGGCCAGGUUAAUUAACUUUUUGUGUCUAGGUUUUCUCAUUUCUAAAUAAAAAUCUUUAUUUCUAUAAUUUCAUGUUGACAAACUAGCAAGUCAAUCUAAGUCUAGUGUGUGUGUGUAUCAGUGAUAGAUAUUGUUAUCAUAAUGAUAAUUUUCAUUAUCCUCUAUCCUAAAGAUCUUAUUCUAUCUAAAAAGAAAUCCCUGUAAAAAUUUUUUUGAAAGUAUUUACUUAUAUAUAUUUGUUCAUUCCACUAUUUCCCCAAUUAACACUCUAAUAUCUUAAAGCAUCUUGUCCUAAGACAAGAUUCCAUAAAUGUUUGUUGAAUGAGUAAAUGAUAUACUAACGAUAAAUGUAACUCUAUUCUCAGCAUUUUGUACAUAAUGAUCAUACAUUUAGGUUACACACAUUUCACUUAACUUUUUUACUUGCUUCAAACUAUGAUUUUAAAAGACCUCUCAGCAUAUAAAACCUAGAAAUUGGGGUGAGUGACAAAAACUCUUCAGUAUGGC